rnacentral:rRNA from 1 species
UGGGGAAUCUUGCACAAUGGGGGCAACCCUGAUGCAGCGACGCCGCGUGAGCGAUGAAGCCCUUCGGGGCGUAAAGCUCUUUCGACCGGAACGAUAAUGACGGUACCGGGAGAAGAAGCUACGGCUAACUACGUGCCAGCAACCGCGGUAAUACGUAGGCAGCAAGCGUUGUUCGGAGUUACUGGGCGUAAAGAGUGCGUAGGCGGUUUUCUAAGUUCGGUGUGAAAUCUCCCGGCUUAACUGGGAGGGUGCGCAGAAGACUGGGAAGCUGGAGUGUGGGAAAGGCAGGCGGAAUUCCUGGUGUAGCGGUGAAAUGCGUAGAUAUCAGGAGUAACACCGGCGGUGUAGACGGCUUGCUAGACCAUAACUGACGCUGAGGCACGAAAGCGUGGGUAGCAAACA